UACGUAGGUGGCAAGCGUUGUUCGGAAUUAUUGGGCGUAAAGGGCGCGUAGGCGGUUUGUUAAGUCAGCUGUGAAAGCCCGGGGCUCAACCCCGGAGGGUCAGCUGAUACUGGCAGGCUAGAGUACAGAAGAGGUAACUGGAAUUCCCGGUGUAGCGGUGAAAUGUGUAGAGAUCGGGAGGAACACCGGUGGCGAAGGCGGGUCUCUGGGCAAUUCCUGACGCUGAGGCGCGAAAGCCAGGGGAGCAAACGGG
rnacentral:rRNA from 1 species